UACGUAGGGUGCGAGCGUUAAUCGGAAUUACUGGGCGUAAGGCGGGCGAAGGGGGUUUUGAAAGCCAGAUGGGAAAUCCCCGGGCUUAACCUGGGAAUGGCAUUUGGGACUGCAAGGCUCGAGUGCGGCAGAGGAGACUGGAAUUCCUGGUGUAGCAGUGAAAUGCGUAGAUAUCAGGAGGAACACCAAUUGCGAAGGCAGCUCGCUGGGACGUUACUGACGCUGAGACGCGAAAGCGUGGGGAGCAAACAGG
rnacentral:rRNA from 1 species